rnacentral:lncRNA from 1 species
AUUGAAUGUCAUUUCACAUCAGCUUAAAAGCUCCACCACCAAAACCUUCUUCCAUUUCUCAUCUUUUUUCGUCUUCCGCUCUCCCAUUUUCAAAACCUAGUAAGAUUCUUAUUUUAAUUGAUGUUAAAAAAAAAGGCAGCUUGAAGAAAUGUUUGAAAACAUUUUAAUUUUCACGUUUAAUUUUAAUUUUGCUCGUUGUAGGAGAUUUUUCAUGCUUGAAGGAUGUGAUCUGAUAAUGAACUUCGAAAUGUGUGAAAAACGAAAAAUGUUGGCAUGUUCUGUUUGUGAAAUUGAGCUGAUUUACUUUUGUGGAUAUUUUGGAGUGUUACUUGUGUGUGUGUGUGAGAGAG